rnacentral:rRNA from 1 species
CACACACACCGUAUGAAGUCUUUUGGAAUGUGCGCCGCGUUUUAACGCAAUACAAUACAACUUUCAGCAACGGAUCUCUUGGCUCUCGCAUCGAUGAAGAACGCAGCGAAAUGCGAUAAGUAAUGUGAAUUGCAGAAUUCAGUGAAUCAUCGAAUCUUUGAACGCACCUUGCGCCCUUUGGCUAUUCCGAAGGGCAUGCCUGUUUGAGUAUCAUGAACACCUCAACUCUCAUGGCUUGCCAUGAUGAGCUUGGACUUUGGGGGUUUUGCCGGCCCUGUGGUCGGCUCCUCUCAAAUGCAUCAGCUUGCCAGUGUUUGGUGGCAUCACAGGUGUGAUAACAUCUACGCUUGUGGUCGCCUGCCAAGUAGUCUUCAGCAAUGAAGGUUUCGCUGGGGCUUCAAAACGUCUCGGCAGAGACAGCUUCUUGAACGUUAGAUCUCAAAUCAGGAGAUACCCGCG